UCUCCAGCUCACUCCCAACCCCUGUGACAUACCUUAAUGUUGCCUCGGCGGAUCAGCCCGCGCCCCGUAAAACGGGACGGCCCGCCAGAGGACCCAAACUCUAAUGUUUCUUAUUGUAACUUCUGAGUAAAACAAACAAAUAAAUCAAAACUUUCAACAACGGAUCUCUUGGUUCUGGCAUCGAUGAAGAACGCAGCAAAAUGCGAUAAGUAAUGUGAAUUGCAGAAUUCAGUGAAUCAUCGAAUCUUUGAACGCACAUUGCGCCCGCUGGUAUUCCGGCGGGCAUGCCUGUUCGAGCGUCAUUUCAACCCUCAAGCCCCCGGGUUUGGUGUUGGGGAUCGGCUCUGCCUUCUGGCGGUGCCGCCCCCGAAAUACAUUGGCGGUCUCGCUGCAGCCUCCAUUGCGUAGUAGCUAACACCUCGCAACUGGAACGCGGCGCGGCCAUGCCGUAAAACCCCAACUUCUGAAUGUUGACCUCGGAUCAGGUAGGAAUACCCGCUGAACUUAAGCAUAUCAAUAAGCCGGAGGAAAUUUAUAUCUCCCA
rnacentral:rRNA from 1 species